GACGAACGCUGGCGGCGUGCUUAACACAUGCAAGUCGAACGGUGAAGCAGGAGCUUGCUCCUGUGGAUCAGUGGCGAACGGGUGAGUAACACGUGAGCAAUCUGCCCUGGACUCUGGAAUAAGCAUUGGAAACGACGUCUAAUACCGGAUACGAGGCGUGGGGGCAUCCCCAACGCCUGGAAAGAACUUCGGUCCAGGAUGAGCUCGCGGCCUAUCAGGUAGUUGGUGAGGUAACGGCUCACCAAGCCUACGACGGGUAGCCGGCCUGAGAGGGUGACCGGCCACACUGGGACUGAGACACGGCCCAGACUCCUACGGGAGGCAGCAGUGGGGAAUAUUGCACAAUGGGCGCAAGCCUGAUGCAACAACGCCGCGUGAGGGACGACGGCCUUCGGGUUGUAAAGCUCUUUCGCAGGUGAAGAUAAUGACGGUAACCUGAGAAGAAGCCCCGGCUAACUUCGUGCCAGCCGCCGCCGUAAAAC
rnacentral:rRNA from 1 species